GAUGAAGAACGCAGCGAAAUGCGAUAAGUAGUGUGAAUUGCAGAAUUCAGUGAAUCAUCGAAUCUUUGAACGCACAUUGCGCCCUUUGGUAUUCCUUAGGGCAUGCCUGUUCGAGCGUCAUUUAAACCUUCAAGCUAAGCUUGGUGUUGGGUGACUGUCCGCCUCACGGCGGACUCGCCUCAAAAUUAUUGGCGGCCGGUACAUUGGCUUCGAGCGCAGCAGAAACGCGAACUCGGGCCCGUCGUAUUGGCUCCCAGAAGCUAUCUUCACAAUUUUGACCUCGGAUCUGGUAGGGAUACCCGCUGAACUUAAGCAUAUCAAUAAGCGGAGGA
rnacentral:misc_RNA from 1 species